rnacentral:lncRNA from 1 species
CAUGGAUGCUAUUCUGUGUUCCUCCCUCUUUCCUUCCAAAGGCCACGACAGGAAGAGAAGCUGCCAACACCAGAUGACCAACUCCUUUCCAGUUACAGACCACCCCAGUGAUGAGACCUCCAUAUGUUGUCUGAUGGCCGCAGUUCCUCAGCAAAUGGAGAAGCAUGGCCUGUCAGCCCAGCAUCAGAUGGUUCCAUGCCGACCUCCUCCAUGGCUGGGGGUUGGAGUGCCCCAGCUGCUGCCUCCCUCGUAGCUUUCAUUAAAGGACUUUGCUUUUUUGGAAGAAGAGAAUAAUGAGAUGAUGAUGCAGAGCACUGGCAGAAUGUCUAGCAUAGAAGAAUCUGAGGAUUCGCCAUGCAUGCUUCCUGGUAUGUAGUACUAGUUCUUGUCAAUGACACAGAGACUUGAAGACUGUAUAUAAAUGGACACACCUACUAGAAUGUAAGCUUCAUAUACAAAAGGAUUUUUAAAAAUCUGUUUUGCUUAUUUCUACAUCCCCAGGGCCUAGUGCAGUCCCUGGCACAUGGUAGGCCACAGGCCCUUAGUAAAUGUGUUGAAUGAAUAUGUGGAUUUAAUAUUUCCCUGACUUCUUACUCUUCUUAGGUCAUGUGCUAAGUCAUCGGUCCAUUUUAAAAAUAUAAAUGCAAAUAGACUUAUAAGCUGAUUAUUUCUAAUUUAUAUGUGUUGAAUUUAUUUUCCUAAUAACUGAAAAGAUUAAAAAGCAGGAGGAUGCUUCAUAGCUGACAAAACUUCAUUGCCAUAGUCAUUUGAGUCGCAGCCUGGGAGAAAAAUGUAUUCUUCUUCUAGGUUGAUUUUCUAAGAUCACUAUCAGAAGGCCAGGCUACUUCAGGAAUCAGUGCUUCAAAUCAAAAUUAAAAACACAUGCAUUUAUGUGAUACCUCUUGAGAAUGCAAGCUGCUGUACAAACACAUUUAAAGCAUUAAGUGCUCCCUGACGCCCUUUCCUCAGAAGUAGUACUUCCAGAAAGGAGAGUGCAUUUAGGUAAAACCAACGGCAGCUUCUAUACGAUGAUGUCAACAUGGCUCAACCUCUGAGUGCCAGAAUUUGCUUCUCAUUAGAUACAACUUUUCUGGAAAUAUAAGAGAAGGUAAGUUGAUUUCCAAGUGAAUUCAAGCCUAUUGGAGUAUUAUAUUACAGAACCUUUCAAUAGGAGGAGCUUUCAGGAGCUUUCAGGAGGCUUGUGGUUUCAGUAUUGGUGGCCUGUAGGGGUCAGUUGUGUUUUUUGUUUGCUCAGCAUCCAUUCCUCCUACUUCUAGUAA